rnacentral:rRNA from 1 species
AUUGAACGCUGGCGGCAUGCCUUACACAUGCCAGUCGAACGGUAACGGGCCUUCGGGUGCCGACGAGUGGCGAACGGGUGAGUAAUACAUCGGAACGUGCCCGAUCGUGGGGGAUAACGAGGCGAAAGCUUUGCUAAUACCGCAUACGAUCUACGGAUGAAAGCAGGGGACCGCAAGGCCUUGCGCGGACGGAGCGGCCGAUGGCAGAUUAGGUAGUUGGUGGGAUAAAAGCUUACCAAGCCGACGAUCUGUAGCUGGUCUGAGAGGAUGAUCAGACACACUGGGACUGAGAGACGGCCCAGACUCCUACGGGAGGCAGCAGUGGGGAAUUUUGGACAAUGGGCGCAAGCCUGCUCCAGCCAUGCCGCGUGCAGGAUGAAGGCCUUCGGGUUGUAAACUGCUUUUGUACGGAACGAAAAGCCUUCUUUUAAUACAGGAGGGUCAUGACGGUACCGUAAGAAUAAGCACCGGCUAACUACGUG